GGAGUUAGCCGGUGCUUCUUCUGCGAGUAACGUCACAGAUGUAAGGUAUUAACUUACACCCUUUCCUCCUCGCUGAAAGUGCUUUACAACCCGAAGGCCUUCUUCACACACGCGGCAUGGCUGCAUCAGGGUUUCCCCCAUUGUGCAAUAUUCCCCACUGCUGCCUCCCGUAGGAGUCUGGGCCGUGUCUCAGUCCCAGUGUGGCUGAUCAUCCUCUCAGACCAGCUAGGGAUCGUCGCCUAGGUGAGCCUUUACCUCACCUACUAGCUAAUCCCACCUGGGCUUAUCCAUCAGCGCAAGGCCCGAAGGUCCCCUGCUUUCCCCCGUAGGGCGUAUGCGGUAUUAGCAGUCGUUUCCAACUGUUAUCCCCCACAAAUGGUCAAAUUCCCAGGCAUUACUCACCCGUCCGCCGCUCGUCAUCUUCAAAAGCAAGCUUUUGAAAUGUUACCGCUCGACUUGCAUGUGUUAGGCCUGCCGCCAGCGUUCAAUCUGAGCCAUAAUCAAACUCUGA
rnacentral:rRNA from 1 species